UUGAUGAUGUCUUACUAGUUGAUGGAUUGAAACAUAAUCUCUUGAGUGUUAGUCAAUUAUGCGAUAAAAGUUAUAUCGUUAGAUUUGAAUCAAAUAUGUGCAUUAUUGAAAAACCAAAUCAUAACAUGACUAUGAUUGCAUUAAAACAAAAUAAUGUCUACACCAUCAACCUUGAUGAACUAAGUAAUGAAAUGUGCUUCUCC
rnacentral:lncRNA from 1 species